AAACCUAGUUCCACGAAUCUUCAUCAAAAGAAAUUUAUCCAAUGGUGUUGCACCAACAUAUCAAAUAUUAGUCAUCUGAUCAUAAACCGACCUCCGUCCUUUGAUCUUCUCCGGUGAAGAAACACCACCCAUCGCCGUCGUCCAAUUUCACAUACAAUCAGACAACCAAUACCUCGGCGCCUGAUUUCACAGAGUUUCCCCUUGUUAUGCUUCAAUUUUGUCACCAAUUGAUGUAUAAAAAUAAUAAUUGCGUUUGUAUGGGUUGAGUUUAAUCGGGGUCUUUAUCGUCAUCACUAAGAAUCGCCAUCGAGUUUAUUUGGGUUGAGUUUGCUUGGGGGCUUCAUCAAGUUUGCUAGGGGGCUUAUCAGGUUGGAGUCGGAGCCAGUGUAGUGAUGAUGGUUAUGCUGGAGAGGAUUGUUGUACGUUUGAAUGGUGGUGGUUGUAGUGGUUAUAGACGGGAGGUGGACUGGUUGUGAUGGUUGGUUGUAUGCAGGUAGGUUGUCGGAUCUGAAGGUGAAAGGUGGGUGGUGGUGAGUGGUGUUAGGUAGUGGAUGAUGGUGAAUGUAGUGGGGUAUGGUAGUGACGACGGUUGGUGGAGGCCAGGGUGAUGGUUGUGGAUGGAGGUUGAAGAUGAAGUGUAGUGGUAGGGUUUCAUAAAUAAAAUAAUCUAAAAAGAGUGGGCCCUAAUCAAAGUUUAUUUUAUUUUGUUUUAUUAUUAAGGGUAAAUAAGUCAUUUCACAGCCACUUAACUGGAAAAACUAACCUCCAUCCACAUCAGAGACCAUC